rnacentral:rRNA from 1 species
ACACAUGCAAGUCGAGCGGAAACGACACUAACAAUCCUUCGGGUGCGUUAAUGGGCGUCGAGCGGCGGACGGGUGAGUAAUGCCUAGGAAAUUGCCUUGAUGUGGGGGAUAACCAUUGGAAACGAUGGCUAAUACCGCAUAAUGCCUACGGGCCAAAGAGGGGGACCUUCGGGCCUCUCGCGUCAAGAUAUGCCUAGGUGGGAUUAGCUAGUUGGUGAGGUAAUGGCUCACCAAGGCGACGAUCCCUAGCUGGUCUGAGAGGAUGAUCAGCCACACUGGAACUGAGACACGGUCCAGACUCCUACGGGAGGCAGCAGUGGGGAAUAUUGCACAAUGGGCGAAAGCCUGAUGCAGCCAUGCCGCGUGUAUGAAGAAGGCCUUCGGGUUGUAAAGUACUUUCAGUUGUGAGGAAGGGGGUAACGUUAAUAGCGGUAUCUCUUGACGUUAGCAACAGAAGAAGCACCGGCUAACUCCGUGCCAGCAGCCGCGGUAAUACGGAGGGUGCGAGCGUUAAUCGGAAUUACUGGGCGUAAAGCGCAUGCAGGUGGUUCAUUAAGUCAGAUGUGAAAGCCCGGGGCUCAACCUCGGAACUGCAUUUGAAACUGGUGAACUAGAGUACUGUAGAGGGGGGUAGAAUUUCAAGUGUAGCGGUGAAAUGCGUAGAGCAUCUGAAGGAAUACCAGUGGCGAAGGCGGCCCCUCGACAGAUACUGACACUCAAAUGCUAAAGCCUGGGGGUGCAAACAGG